rnacentral:rRNA from 1 species
AUUGAACGCUGGCGGCAUGCUUUACACAUGCAAGUCGAACGGCAGCACGGGGGCAACCCUGGUGGCGAGUGGCGAACGGGUGAGUAAUGCAUCGGAACGUACCCGGGAGUGGGGGAUAACGUAGUGAAAGUUACGCUAAUACCGCAUAUUCUGUGAGCAGGAAAGUGGGGGACCGUAAGGCCUCACGCUUCUGGAGCGGCCGAUGUCGGAUUGGCUCGUUGGUGGGGUAAAGGCUUACCAAGGCGACGAUCCGUAGCGGGUCUGAGAGGAUGAUCCGCCACACUGGGACGGAGACACGGCCCAGGCUCCUACGGGAGGCAGCAGUGGGGAAUUUUGGACAAUGGGCGCAAGCCUGAUCCAGCCAUGCCGCGGGAGUGAAGAAGGCCUUCGGGUUGUAAAGCUCUUUUGUUGGGGAAGAAAUGCUCUGGGUUAAUACCCUGGGGUGAUGACGGUACCCAAAGAAUAAGCACCGGCUAAUUACGUGCCAGCCGCCGCCGUAA